GUCCAAGGCGCUGGUUUAAGGCACCAGUCUCUUCGGGGGCAUGGGUUCGAAUCCCAUCGCUGUCA
rnacentral:tRNA from 1 species